CUUCACCAGCUGAGACAUGGACACCUCGAAAUGGAUGAUGACUGGGUCAGACACGUUGGCUACAGGCCGGAUGAUCUCAUUGUAAUCUUCAAACAGCCGCUCAAAUAGACGGUGCUCAGCCUCUGAGGCCCUGGCCACUGUGGGAAGCAGCCCUGUCAGUCCCUGGGGAAAUCGUUACUUAACCUCCCCCACCCAGCCCAGCAGAAACAUCACCCAUCUACAGCAUCCCCUCCACCUGUGGGGGGAUUCUGUGGAACCCUAGACUUUCAGGCCAGUCUAACCCAGUGGGUUACAAAAUGGGAAACUGAGGCCCAAGAGGGGCAGGAUUCUACCUGGCCACACGCAUUCAGUGAGAAGCACAGUGGUUGCAAGCCUGGGCUCUGGAGUUGGACAGAUCUGGUGCAAAUCCUGACAAAUCACUUGUAAGCUGUGUGAGCUUAGGCAAGUGGCUUAACCUCUCUGAACCUGUGUCUUUACCAGUCAAAAUAAGGAUUAUAAACGUAUCCACCUCAAAGGGUUGUUGUGAAGGAAGUGCACAGCUUGGUGCUGCGGUAAGAGGUCAAGAACUAUUCGCAAUCUUUUCCUGGGUUGUUUCUGCCGGGUGGGGGUGUGGGGCAAAUGCUGUCUGCCUGGGUACAGCCACUCACUGCUUCCACGAUGGAAAGAUGGCCAGUCCGCUCCCAGGGGCAGGGCCAACCACGGUCGCCCAGGCCCAGGUCUUCUACCUCCCAGCCUCCGGGAGAACACAGCCCAGGUCUGGGCCUCUCCUGCAUUCCACCCUGUAGGGGUGGCCACCAGCCCUCUUAGAAGCCAAGGCACUGUGUGACUCCCGUGAUCUCGUGUGACCCCCAGCUCUUGCUGAUGCUGUCUUCAUAUCCUGAUGAAAGACUCUGACCUCUGCAACCCUUGGGCACCCCUCUUUGUUCCUAAGCCACACCCCAGCACAAGUGAGGCAUACCGGGUCAGCUGUCUUCUGAUUCCCACGUACAGAUCUGGGGGCAGCUUGGGGAAGCGGGAGGAGAAUCCUCUAGGAAGUUGAAUCCAACUUCCUCAGGUCUUGAAAUAGGAUUUUUCCUGCUCCCCACUCUCCUUCCCCAGGAUGAAAGAAGGGUCCCAGGCAGGAGGUCGGUUGAGAGCGUAUGGCGUUCUGAGUAGUGCAGGCCUCGGCACCGAGGGCGGAAAGCGCUCUGAGCUCACAGCCGCACGACAGACCGCCGGCCUGGGCCCUCCAGGAAUUCCCUGCAGCCUUGCCCGGUCCCCGACUCUCGCUACCCACCAGCCCUCCCAGGCACCCAAGAGCCUCCCAGCGGCGGGCCAGGGCCGGCUUCCCCCAGCAGGCUCCUCUGGAGAGCGGGAGGAAGACAGGAGGCGCUCUCCCGGUGGAGGGUCCCUCAGCGACGCAGCCAGGAGCGCUAGGAGGCUACAACCGGAGGAGAGGCUGGCGCUCCAGCUCCAGCCCCAGUCCCGAAGCGACUCCCCUCUUCCCGAGGUGGCCUUGGCCAAGUCUUCAGCCAUCUCCGUCAAAUGAGGAGGUGGGCGGGAUGCAGACGGUGGAGCGGGAGGCUUGGGCGCGCCAGUUUGGGAGCCAGUGCGCGGGGCAGGGCGACGGGCAGCGCGGGGACGCGAAUCCCCAACUCCUGCGCCCAAGACGAAGGACCCGGUCUCGACCUCCCCAUCACCCGGCGCGUACCAGCGCCCGCUCAGUGACUCCCAGGUUUGGUGGUGGCUAGGGGUGGGAGGUGAGCCGAAAGGGAAAAAGCCACCCCACCCAAGUCGCCGCCGGGCUGGAGCCAGUCUGCGCGGGUUCCGAGUCCCCGGCGACGGCGCCAGCCCUCUCCGCUCGCCCGCGCGGUGUUCUCGCCGGCAGCCCCUCCGGACCCCGCGCCCCUUCUCGGGCGCCCGUCCCUCCGGAGCCCUAACGCCUGUGCGCGUACCUGGCAGCAGAGACAGCAGCAGCAGCAGCAGCAGCCGCGGCGGCGACAGCGCCAGGGGCAGCGAGAGCGGGCCAGAGCCCAUGGCUGGUGGCCGGGCUGGCCGCGGACCCGGACGGUCGGGAGCGGGCGCGGCGGUCGCAGAGACGGCCUCUCCCCGCGCGGCUCCAGCGCAGACCCCAGACCUGGAGCCGUGCG
rnacentral:lncRNA from 1 species